GCCCAGGUGGUGGAAUGGUAGACACUAGGGACUUAAAAUCCCUUGCCUUCACAGGCGUACGAGUUCGAGUCUCGUUCUGGGCA
rnacentral:tRNA from 1 species